GGAUUGUGGCUCAGCGGUAGAGUGCUCGCCUAGCAAGAGCAAGGCUCUGGGUUCAAUCCUCAGUACCA
rnacentral:tRNA from 1 species